AGGAUGAACGCUAGCGACAGGCUUAACACAUGCAAGUCGAGGGGCAGCACGGGAGUAGCAAUACUUGGUGGCGACCGGCGCACGGGUGAGUAACGCGUAUGCAACCUACCUAUCAGAGGGGAAUAACCCGGCGAAAGUCGGACUAAUACCGCAUAAAACAGGGGCACCGCAUGGUGAUAUUUGUUAAAGAAAUUCGCUGAUAGAUGGGCAUGCGUUCCAUUAGGUAGUUGGUGAGGUAACGGCUCACCAAGCCGACGAUGGAUAGGGGAACUGAGAGGUUGGUCCCCCACACUGGUACUGAGACACGGACCAGACUCCUACGGGAGGCAGCAGUGAGGAAUAUUGGUCAAUGGGCGGGAGCCUGAACCAGCCAAGUCGCGUGAAGGGAAAAGAAGGAUCUAUGGUUCGUAAACUUCUUUUGCAGGGGAAUAAAGUGCAGGACGUGUCCUGUUUUGUAUGUACCCUGAGAAUAAGGAUCGGCUAACUCCGUGCCAGCAGCAGC
rnacentral:rRNA from 1 species